rnacentral:rRNA from 1 species
GACGAACGCUGGCGGCGUGCUUAACACAUGCAAGUCGAACGAUGAAGCUAGAGCUUGCUCUGGUGGAUUAGUGGCGAACGGGUGAGUAACACGUGAGUAACCUGCCCCGAACUCUGGGAUAACUGCUGGAAACGGUAGCUAAUACCGGAUAUGACCAAUGAAGGCAUCUUCUGUUGGUGGAAAGAAUUUCGGUUCGGGAUGGACUCGCGGCCUAUCAGCUUGUUGGUGAGGUAACGGCUCACCAAGGCGACGACGGGUAGCCGGCCUGAGAGGGUGAUCGGCCACACUGGGACUGAGACACGGCCCAGACUCCUACGGGCGGCAGCAGUGGGGAAUAUUGCACGAUGGGCGCAAGCCUGAUGCAGCAACGCCGCGUGAGGGACGACGGCCUGCGGGUUGUAAACCUCUUUUAGUAGGGAAGAAGCGAAAGCGACGGUACCUGCAGAAAAAGCACCGGCUAACUACGUGCCAGCCGCCGCAGUAA